GUCCUACGGGAGGCAGCAGUGAGGAAUAUUGGUCAAUGGACGAGAGUCUGAACCAGCCAAGUAGCGUGAAGGAUGACUGCCCUAUGGUUUGUAAACUUCUUUUAUACAGGAAUACAACGAGGCACGUGUGCCUUUUUGCAUGUACUUUAUGAAUAAGGAUCGGCUAACUCCGUGCCAGCAGCCGCGGUAAUACGGAGGAUCCGAGCGUUAUCCGGAUUUAUUGGGUUUAAAGGGAGCGUAGAUGGGUUGUUAAGUCAUUUGUGAAUGUUUGCGUCUCAACCUUAAAAUU
rnacentral:rRNA from 1 species